CCUACGGGAGGCAGCAGUGGGGAAUAUUGCACAAUGGGGGAAACCCUGAUGCAGCAACGCCGCGUGGGUGAAAGAGCGUUUCGGCGCGUAAAGCCCUGUCAGCGGGGAAGAAGAAAGACGGUACCCGACCAAGAAGCCCCGGCUAACUACGUGCUAGCAGCCGCGGUAAUACGUAGGUGGCAAGCGUUAUCCGGAGUGACUGGGCGUAAAGGGUGCGUAGGUGGUUUAGUAAGUUGGCGGUGUAAUUCCGGGGCUCAACCUCGGCGCUACCGCCAAAACUAUUAGACUAGAGUGCAGGAGGGGUA
rnacentral:rRNA from 1 species